rnacentral:rRNA from 1 species
UACGUAGGUGGCAAGCGUUGUCCGGAUUUACUGGGUGUAAAGGGCGUGCAGCCGGAGAGGCAAGUCAGAUGUGAAAUCCCGCGGCUCAACUGCGGAACUGCAUUUGAAACUGUUUUUCUUGAGUAUCGGAGAGGUCAUCGGAAUUCCUAGUGUAGCGGUGAAAUGCGUAGAUAUUAGGAAGAACACCAGUGGCGAAGGCGGAUGACUGGACGACAACUGACGGUGAGGCGCGAAAGCGUGGGGAGCAAACAGG